rnacentral:rRNA from 1 species
GAGAGAACAAAGGGAUCCCUAGUAACGGCGAGCGAACGGGGAAGAGCUCGUAGCCGAAUCCUAGGCCUUUGGCCCGGGAAAUGUGGCGUGUGGGAGGCGGCACCCUCCUUGCUCGACUCUGAGCGCAAGUCCCCAUGAGAGGGGCUUUUCCCGGAGCGGGUGCUAGGCCCUUACCGCUUAGAGUCGGGCGAUGAGUCGCCGUUCUCCCGGGAGUCGGGUUGCUUGGGAGUGCAGCCCAAAGCGGGUGGUAAACUCCACCUAAAGCUAAAUAAGACCGAGAGACCGAUAGCAAACAAGUACCGUGAGGGAAAGUUGAAAAGCACUUUGAAGAGAGAGUUCAAGAGUACGUGAAACCAUUUGGAGGUAAACGGGUGGGGCUUCGAAGGCCUAAGCAGGUUGCAGGUUCACGUUCCAGCCGGGCUAGGGUCGGGAUGGAUGCUCCGCGAAGGAGGCCGUCUCGGCUGUAGGGCUCGUUCUGGAACCGCAUGGCUGCACCCUYGCCAUUGGGACGCCGCGACGGGUUGGACGAUUGUCGGAGGGGCGGUUCGAAAGGUGGCCUCCUUUCUUCGGAUCGGAGGUGUUAUAGUCGUUCCGCUACCGAGGGAUCGUCCGACCGUGGAAGAGUGUAUCUCUCGAGAGCGCUCCAUGUAGAGCAGCGGAAGCCGGGGGCGGCAUCGGCCUUUCGUCCCUCUACACCUAGUGUGUGGGCCGUCUGCGCUGGGCAAACCCCCCGGUCCGACCGCGGUGGAGCGAGAGGUCUGCGGCGAGUAGUUCGGGCUCCCACCCGACCCGUCUUGAAACACGGACCAAGGAGUCCAAUGCGCGUGCGAGUCCCCGGGACUUGUUCAGGCCCGUGGGCGCAAUGAAAGUGAAGGGCGUCUCGGACGUCCGAGUUGGGAUCCCUCUUCUGGAGGGCGCACCAACGGCCCAUUCGAAACCGGUUUCGGUUGGAUGGAGCGAGAGCACGCGCCUUGGGACCCGAAAGAUGGUGAACUAUGCCUGGGCAGGACGAAGCCAGAGGAAACUCUGGUGGAGGUCCGCAGCGAUUCUGACGUGCAAAUCGAUCGUCAGACCCUUGUAUAGGGC